rnacentral:rRNA from 1 species
AGUGAACGCUGGCGGUAUGCCUAACACAUGCAAGUCGAACGGCAGCACAGUAAGUUCUUGCUCUUAUGGGUGGCGAGUGGCGGACGGGUGAGGAAGACAUCGGACUCUACUUUUUCGUGGGGGCUAACGUAGGUAAACUUACGCUAAUACCUCAUACGACCUACGGGUGAAAGCAGGGGAUCUUCGGUCCUUGCGCGAUUGAAUGAGCCGAUGUCGGCUUAGCUAGUUGGCGGGGGAAAGGCCCACCAAGGAGACGAUCCGUAGCUGGUCUGAGAGGAUGAUCGGCCACACUGGAACUGGGACACGGUCCAGACUCCUGAGGGAGGCAGCAGUGGGGAAUAUUGGACAGUAGGCGCAAGCAUGAUCCAGCCAUACCGCGUGGGUGAAGGAGGCCUUCUGGUUGUGAAGCCCUUUUGUUGGGAAAGAAAAGCAGCAGGUUAAGACCCCGCUGUUCUGACGGUACCCAAAGAAUAAGCACCGGCUAACUUCGUG